rnacentral:tRNA from 2 species
GACACUGUGGCCGAGUGGUUAAGGCGACAGACUCGAAUUUCGUUUCAUCGAGUCCGAUAUCUGUUUCUUUCGGGAGCGCAGGUUCAAAUCCUGCCGGUGUCG